GGGGAACUUUGGACAAUGGGGGCAACCCUGAUCCAGCCAUCCCGCGUGUGCGAUGAAGGCCUUCGGGUUGUAAAGCACUUUUGGCAGGGAAGAAAAGGCUCUGGUUAAUACCUGGAGCUGCUGACGGUACCUGCAGAAUAAGCACCGGCUAACUACGUGCCAGCAGCCGCGGUAAUACGUAGGGUGCAAGCGUUAAUCGGAAUUACUGGGCGUAAAGCGUGCGCAGGCGGUUCGGCAAGAAGGAUGUGAAAUCCCGGGGCUUAACCUCGGAACUGCAUUCUUAACUGCCGGGCUAGAGUAUGUCAGAGGGGGGUAGAAUUCCACGUGUAGCAGUGAAAUGCGUAGAGAUGUGGAGGAAUACCGAUGGCGAAGGCAGCCCCCUGGGAUAAUACUGACGCUCAUGCACGAAAGCGUGGGGAGCAAAC
rnacentral:rRNA from 1 species